rnacentral:lncRNA from 1 species
AGUAUCGGGAACAUGGCUUUAGGAUCCUUUUCUCUCUCUGCAAAAAGUCCCUCGAUAGCUGGAAAGAGAGAGCUCUCUGUGGCCCACAUGAUUGUUUUCAUUCAUAGGAAGAUCAGACCUUCCCAUAGUCAGAAUCAUUUUUAUUUCACAUUGUCAUUCUGAAUAGCGGCACCAAAGAAUAGCAGCUGUACUUUCUGAAAGCCACUGAUUUGAAUCGGCACCUAUCGUAAAAUAUUACCGCGUCACUGAAAGGCAAAAUAGUCGGGGGCGGUGGGGGAAAUUCAUCAUCUCUUUAGGUUUCUCAGUUACAAAACAUUCUUAUAAAAAUAGAUGAAAGUACUACGGACGUAAAAUAGUUUCAUGAUAUUUAAAACCACGGCCGUAUUUUCAACCAGCAUUCAUUGGAACCGGAAUCUGUAUCUUGGAACUGAAAAGCGCUGAUCUGAAACUAAACCGUGGGUGGGGCCCUGACGCCGUCCCCUCCGUGGCACCCUUCCCUCCGGGCCAGCAGAGGGCGCUCAACGGGCAGUCAAAGGGGCUCUCGCAGGAGUCCUGCCUAUACAAACAUUUUAUUUUAGCAGGGAACUGAGUUGUCUAUUU